CAGUAGCCGCGGGAAUACGUAGGGCGCAAGCGUUGUCCGGAAUUAUUGGGCGUAAAGAGCUCGUAGGCGGUCUGUCGCGUCUGGUGUGAAAUCCCGAGGCUCAACCUUGGGCUUGCAUCGGGUACGGGCAGACUAGAGUGCGGUAGGGGAGACUGGAAUUCCUGGUGUAGCGGUGGAAUGCGCAGAUAUCAGGAGGAACACCGAUGGCGAAGGCAGGUCUCUGGGCCGCAACUGACGCUGAGGAGCGAAAGCAUGGGGAGCGAACAGGAUUAGAUACCCCAGUAGUCCCUGUCUCUUAUAA
rnacentral:rRNA from 1 species